rnacentral:rRNA from 1 species
AUACGGAGGGUGCAAGCGUUGUUCGGAUUUACUGGGCGUAAAGCGCACGUAGGCGGUAUAUCAAGUUAGGCGUGAAAGCCCCGGGCUCAACCCGGGAACUGCGCUUAUGACUGAUAAACUAGAGUCCGGGAGAGGGUGGCGGAAUUCCCAGUGUAGAGGUGAAAUUCGUAGAUAUUGGGAAGAACACCAGUUGCGAAGGCGGCCACCUGGACCGGUACUGACGCUGAGGUGCGAAAGCGUGGGGAGCAAACAGGAUUAGAAACCCCAGUAGUCC